AGUGUACUAAACGGAAUGAAAGUAAGAGACCAAGGCCUUGACAAAAACCCUUACCGAGCCGAGGAUCUUCCAAACGAUAAGGUCCGGAACCCAAGGGAAACUAACUGGCCUGCAAAGCAGACGAUGGGACUUCAGCUGGGAAGCGGGACUGGAGGAAACCGAGAGGAUGCACCCCGGGGCUCCGAAACGCACCGCUCAGCCCCUUUUCCCGUUCAACAGGCCUCCCCCAGCCUCGAGUGCUCUUCCAACGGCCUGACUCCCUUCUUGCUGGACAGAGAGCAGAAACAGAAGUUCCUUGGAGUCCGGUCUCGGCGCAAAAUUGUCUGCGCCCAGCCCCAGCAUGCUCCGCGGCUCUCGGGGGCCCGCCCCUUCCGGAGGCCUCCGCGGCGCGGCUCGGGCCGCGCCUGCCCUCGCUGGGGCGCGGGAGCCUGCGGCUGUCGCAACAGUGGGUUUCCACGAGCCCUCGGAGAUCGGACAGACCUUCUAGUGUGGGGAUAUGUAAAGCUUAAUUCCAGACGGAAUAUUGUCACCCGAUCUAAAAUCUCCCUCCCUAUGGGAGUCUCUGGCUGCUGUCAUCCCGGGCCUUUGCAACUUGGAAGACACAAACAAGAAAGUGAAAGUGAAGCAAGCAACAAUGUGAAGCAAAUCAGGGUAGUGUAUUGUGUUGUUCAUUGUCUUGCGUUGAGUCGCGAGUCUUCCACAUUUUUUUGUUUGUGUACCAGGGAUCAAACUCACAACCUUGUGCUUGUCAGGCAGGUGCUCACACUGCUGAGCUAAAUCCCCACCCCUCUUCCACAUUGAUUUCAUAGUAAUUAUCUAAAAUUUAUAUCUCAUGAUUUACUUUCUGGCUUAAAAUCCUAUAAGGCCUUUAUUUUAGCUUUAUUUAAUAAAUUCAGUGAUGAAUUUAAGAGUUCAGCCAGGAGCAGUUCCAAAAGGCAUAAAUUUUAAGAAGUUUAUGAUGCACUAUCCCCUGGUGACAUAUGGGAGGAUGAAUAGGUGCUAUCUAAAAGAAAUUGGGCAGAAGGGAAAAUUACAGAGUUGAUGGGGCUGGGGAUUUAGCUCAGCAAUAUAAGCACCUGUCUUGCAAGCAGGCGGUCGUGAGUUCGAUCCCCGGUACCAAUAAAAAUGAAAGACCAAAAAAAAAAAAAAAAAAAUUUACAGUUAACCAAACCCCAUGAAAUAGUGUAUAAUACUGGGAGAUGUUCAUAAGACAUGCCUGAGUGGGAUUUAGGAUCUUCUCUCAGAAAAAUAAGCAAUGCUACACACCAACUGUUCUGUAUUUAAAAAUAUGACCUUCAAGUAAAAAUAACACCAUUGAGAGUUUUAAGCGGUAUCUUAAUUUCAUCACUGGGGCCAAGUGCUCAGCACUUAGUUCGCAGUUAUAGUCCCUGGCCACCUGGCUCCAAGGCAGGAAGAGCAGGUGGGUCUGGCAGAAGCAGCAAAGUGAAAAGGGAGGAUCCAGGGAGGGAGACAUACCCUCCCAGGUCACACUCUCAGAAACCUCCUGUACUUGCCCCCCUGCUUAACAGCACAUUGAGCUCUGAACCAAUGGUUUAAUCAUUUUCCAAAAGCCCCACCUCUGAAUGAGUCCUUUAGGGGGACUCUGUAGCUCUAAACCAUAACAAGCAGUAAAAUAGUAAGAUUAGAUAUUUAAUUUAGAAUAAUCCAUCCUACCAACAGUGGAAAGGAUAGAAUUAAGUACAGAUUAGAAAUCAAAAACUCAGGGCUGGGGAUUUAGCUCAGCGGCAUAAGCACCUGCCUUGCAAGCGUGUGGUCGUGAGUUCAAUCCCCAGUACUGAUAAAAACAAACCAACCAACAAACAAACAAAACCAAAAAGAAAUCAAAAACUCAAUUGGUAAUCUAUUUAAGCAGUUAGGAUGUUGUAGGAAUCUAAGGGUGGGUCUGGCUAUGGAAAUGGAGAGAGAGUAAGGUCUUGAGUAUGUACGUGUUGACUGGGGGAGGAAAUAGAUGAGAGGGGUUUCAGUCAGGCAAUUGGAUCGAUAGUAGUACAACUUUCUGAGUUAAGGAACACAGGUUUUAUUGAAAAAGAUUAUAGUUUUUGACAUGUUGAAUUUUGAGGUGACUAAUAUCCAAGUGGCAAUAUCCACUGGGACGUUCAGUAUGUUCUGGAAGAUUUCUGAGAUACAUAUGUAGAUGUGUUGUGACAUCAAACAAAAUGUAUAGCUAGAAAAGAGAAUGUGAUCAGCAGAAAUGACUGGUAAGUAAACAGAAUGAACAAACAGGUACUAGCAAUAGGCCAAGCUAGUUCUGCAGCAUUAACAGAAAUUGCUCCUGCAGCAGCACAGUAGAUGUUAGUAAAUCCUCUUUUUAGAAUGCCACAUAGUGGCUAUAUUCAGCCAAUUAAAGAUGAAUAUAAAGCUGUGCUUGGAAAACUAGGCUGACAAAUUUAGAGAAGCUCAAAAAUGGACUCGGUUAUGAGGAUAUGGACAAUUUAAAGGGGUCUCCAUUGCUUCAACUAUAAAGUGAGAGGUUUAAAUUAGGUGUUCUAGAUUUUUUUCCAGUUCUAAAAUCCUGAUCCUUUGAACUGAUAGGGAAGAAUGGGUGAGUUUUGGAAUUUUAUGAACAAUAAUUCCUCCCGGAAACUGCAUUUGUACCCUUCCAGCCACUACUCCAGCCACAUGGUUCCCACACAAGUCGAGAUCUCGGCUACAAUUGAUUUCUUUAGGGGUGGACACCUGACUUACCUUGGCCAGGUAAGAACCUUUCCCCAGGAAUUUGAGAUGAGUUGUGAGAAAGAUGGCACAUGUAAAAUGGGGAGCUAACCAUAUCUGAUUUGCAUUGAGCUGUUAUUUUAAAAAAUGAGGCCUAGAAUGAAGACAAAGCAGAGGUGAAGAUGGAGAAAUCUACAUUUUCCAAAGUGCUUCAGGACCUGGCUCCAAUCUUCUGGUCUUUCUUGAGCCCAGCCGCUGCAUGCAUGGGUGGCCGUCAUCCGGAUUCUCCUGCAGGCAACCUCACAGGCUGGGAUAAGCAGCCAACCCAGUCCCCAUACACAUUAAGGCUACCUUUGGGACUCAGUGUGGGAGGGCAGAAGAAACAGCCAGCCCCAUCCCUACAAGUCUGCAGCCCACCAUCACCUUCAAGGCCCUGUAGCCUGCACAGCACAAGAGAACCAGCCAGUAAUGCAUUGGAGAAGCCCACCCUGCUCCCCACCCUUCCCUGGGUUAGGAGAAACCCAGGUGCCUGAUCCACCCUCCUACACUGUGGAUGAGUAGCCAAAAUGGGAAGUGCCUAAGACUCCACAACCUGCUCCUCUGGAGGAACCCAGGAAAAUGUCGAGACAAAGGAGCAAAAGGCAAUCUCAGACCUCCAGCCCAAACAGAACAAGUCCAGGAAGCAUGGACAUAAAAGAAACAGGAGGUUGUACACCUGAAAUUUCUGGGAUGAUGGCAAUUGAAAUAAAGAAAGUACUUCAUGAGACUGUAAAAGAAAUCAGAACAGGGGCUGGAGAUUUAGCUCAGUGGCACAAGUGCCUGCCUUGCAAGCAGGCAGUCGUGGGUUCGAUCCCCGGUACCGAUAAAAAGAAAAAAGACAAAAAAAAAAAAAAAAAAAAUCAGAACAGAAAUAAUAUCUCAGGUAAAAGAAGUGACGAACAUAAUAAAAGGGUUGCUGAGUGUAUCUAAAGAAGACAUAGAUUAAACAAAAGAGGAGCAUAGGAGAAUGACAGAAACCUUUGAUGAACACUAUAGAGAAGAACUGGAAUGCAUGAAACAGAUUCCAAGAGAUAUCCAAGAAAUUAAAAACUCCACUGAAGGCUGCAAAACCACUUGAAAGAAAUAUGAAGAUAAAUGUUCAGACCUUGAAGAUAAUUUGGCAGCUAGUGAUCGCAAAAGGAACGCUUUUUUUUUGAAAGAUCUCUUAAAAAUAACAAGGAACCAGGAAAUAACAAUUCAACAGCUGCAAGAUGACACAAAGAGUCAACAUAUAUGACACAGGACUAUUUAUAAAAGGAAUAGCAGAGAACUUUCCACACAUGAGCAAAGGACCUGACACGCAGUUAAGUGAGACAUGUAGAACUCCAACUAGCCAUAACCAAAAUAAAUCUACACCCAGACAAACAAUAAUCAAAAUCCCAGAAAUUCAGCCCCAAAACAGAAUAUUAAAGGCUGUUAGAGAAAAAAAAACAGAUUACCUAUAAAGGAAAGACCAUCAGAAUCAUGACAGACUUCUCAACCCAAACCAUCAACUCAAGAAAAGAUUGGAGUAAAGUAUUUAUUGUCCGUCACCCACAGACUGCAUAAGAAAGAUAAAACAUUUUUAUACAAUGGAAAGCUACUCACUAGAAAGAAGGAUAACCACAAAGCUCUUGCAGGUAAAUGGAGGCAACUUGCAAUCAUGCUCUUGGGUGAAAUGGUUCAGACUCACAUAAGUGAACAUCAUGUUACCUCUUUAGUAUAAAAAAACUGAAGGAGUUAGUGGGAUCCAAAAUGUACAACAGAUAUUGUGAAAAUGAAAGUCUAAAAAAGGAGGAAAUGUCUAAAAAGGGAAGGUGGUAGCCAUUGUUAAUGCCCUAUUAUCUGGUAUUAAAGUCCUGUAUCAUUUUCCUUGCCUUGUUUUGAUUGGUUUUAUUCUGUUUUGUUUGGCUUGAUUUUAUUAUAUUUGAUGGUAUGGGCAUUUAUUUUGAAGAUAAUAAGGUAUAUUAUGGUAGUCAUUGUUGAUUUCCUAUUAAUCUUGUUUUGAAGUCCUGUAUCACUUUCACUGUUUUGUUUUGACUGUCUUUAUUCAGUUUUAUUUUAUUUGGUUUUAGUCUCUUAAAAAUAAAUACAAAAAAGCUGG